rnacentral:rRNA from 1 species
AACGUAGGACGCAAGCGUUAUCCGGAGUUACUGGGCGUAAAGGGCGUGUAGGCGGCGUCUCAAGUUCGUCGUGAAAGACCCCGGCUCAACCGGGGGAGGUCGAGGGAGACUGAGACGCUGGAGGACGGUAGAGGGACAGGGAAUUCCGGGUGUAGUGGUGAAAUGCGUAGAGAUCCGGAGGAACACCAGUGGCGAAGGCGCUGUCCUGGGCCGUUGCUGACGCUGAGACGCGACAGCAUGGGGAGCGAACGGG